UGAGGAAUAUUGGGUCAAUGGGCGGAAGCCUGAACCAGCCAAGUAGCGUGAGGGAUGACUGCCCUAUGGGUUGUAAACCUCUUUUAUAAGGGAAUAAAAUACGGGACGUGUCCUGUUUUGCAUGUACCUUAUGAAUAAGGACCGGCUAAUUCCGUGCCAGCAGCCGCGGUAAUACGGAAGGUCCGGGCGUUAUCCGGAUUUAUUGGGUUUAAAGGGAGCACAGGCCGGCUGUCAAGCGUGUUGUGAAAUGUAGGGGCUCAACCUCUGAACUGCAGCGCGAACUGACGGUCUUGAGUGCGCACAACGUUGGCGGAAUUCGUCGUGUAGCGGUGAAAUGCUUAGAUAUGACGAAGAACUCCGAUUGCGAAGGCAGCUGACGGGAGCGUUACUGACGCUUAAGCUCGAAAGUGCGGGUAUCG
rnacentral:rRNA from 1 species